GAAUUCGCCCUUCGGUAAUUCCAGCUCCAAUAGCGUAUAUUAAAGUUGUUGCAGUUAAAAAGCUCGUAGUUGAAUUUCUGAUAGAAGGGAGCGGUUCCGCAUUCUUGCGGAUACUGGCUUGUCUUCCGUCAUCCUUGGGCUUAGUCUCGCUGAUAUUAACUUAUCGGCGUGUACGAUGCCCAUCGUUUACUGUGAGCAAAUUAGAGUGUUCAAAGCAGGCAUUUUGCCAUUGAAUAUAUUAGCAUGGAAUAAUAAGAUAGGAUUUCACGAUUUUAUUUUGUUGGUUUGCAUUGUGAAAUAAUGAUUAAGAGGGACAGUUGUGGGUAUUCGUAUUCAGAUGUCAGAGGUGAAAUUCUUAGAUUAUCGGAAGACGAACGACUGCGAAAGCAUUUACCAAGGAUGUUUUCAUUAAUCAAGGACGAAAGUAUGGGGAUCGAAGAUGAUUAGAUACCAUCGUAGUCUAUACCAUAAACUAUGCCGACUCAGGAUCGGCGGGUCAAUUUUUUUUGCUCGUCGGCACUGUAUGAGAAAUCAAAGUCUUUGGGUCCCGGGGGGAGUAUGGUCGCAAGGCUGGAACUUAAAGAAAUUGACGGAAGGGCACCACCAGGAGUGGAACCUGCGGCUUAAUUUGACUCAACACGGGAAAACUUAUCAGGCCCAGACAUAAUGAGGAUUGACAGAUUGAGAGCUCUUUCUUGAUUUUAUGGGUGGUGGUGCAUGGCCGUUCUUAGUUGGUGGAGUGAUUUGUCUGGUUAAUUCCGUUAACGAACGAGGCCCCAGCUUGCUAAAUAAUCACGCGAAUGAUUCUUCAUUGGCGAUGGUUUCUUAGAGGGACAUGUUCGAACAACGAACAGGAGGAUUGGGGCAAUAACAGGUCUGUGAUGCCCUUAGAUGUUCUGAACCGCACGCGUGUUACACUGAUGCAUUCAACGAGCUAUUAACCUUGGCCGAGAGGCCUGGGAAAUCUUGGAACGUGCAUCGUGAUAGGGAUUGAUUAUUGCAAUUUUUAAUCAUGAACGAGGAAUUCCUAGUAAACGCAGAUCAUCAAUCUGCAUUGAUUACGUCCCUGCCCUUUGUACACACCGCCCGUCGCACCUACCGAUUGAGUGACUCGAUGAAGGCUCGGGAUUGUGGUUAUUGCUUUCAUUAGGAAUUACUGCGAGAACUUGUCUGAAUCUCGCCACUUAGAGGAAGGUGAAGUCGUAACAAGGUAAGGGCGAAUUC
rnacentral:rRNA from 1 species